rnacentral:rRNA from 1 species
AUUGAACGCUGGCGGCAUGCCUAACACAUGCAAGUCGAACGGUAACGACGGGAGCUUGCUCCCGGGCGACGAGUGGCGGACGGGUGAGUAAUACUUAGGAAUCUGCCCAGUAGUGGGGGACAACUCGAGGAAACUCGAGCUAAUACCGCAUACGCCCUACGGGGAAAGCGGGGGAUCUUCGGACCUCGCGCUAUUGGAUGAGCCUAAGUCGGAUUAGCUUGUAGGUAGGGUAACGGCCUACCUAGGCGACGAUCCGUAGCUGGUCUGAGAGGACGAUCAGCCACACUGGAACUGAGACACGGUCCAGACUCCUACGGGAGGCAGCAGUGGGGAAUAUUGGACAAUGGGCGCAAGCCUGAUCCAGCAAUGCCGCGUGUGUGAAGAAGGCCUGCGGGUUGUAAAGCACUUUCAGUGGAGAAGAAAAGCUUACGGUUAAUACCCGUGAGUCUUGACGUAACCCACAGAAGAAGCACCGGCUAACUCCGUG